ACCCUUGUGGAGGAGGACGCCGAAGGUGGGGCUAAUGACUGGGGUGAAGUCGUAACAAGGUAGCCGUACCGGAAGGUGCGGCUGGAUCACCUCCUAACAGGGAGACAACAAAAUGUUUAUAUUAUUAUUUUGUCACCUUAGGUCGAUCGGUAUCUCACGUUCUUAAUUUGUUAAGAAUUUCAUUUCCUAAGUUUUUCUAGGUCACACCCAUUAUUUUUCCUGGGCCAUUAGCUCAGGUGGUUAGAGCGCACCCCUGAUAAGGGUGAGGUCCCUGGUUCAAGUCCAGGAUGGCCCAUAUCUCUAUGUUGGGGGUAUAGCUCAGUUGGUAGAGCGCCUGCUUUGCAAGCAGGAUGUCAGCGGUUCGAGUCCGCUUACCUCCACUGAUUACCACCUCUUCCAUAAUCCGUAGAAAGGAAAUGUUUUGAGUUGUGAUCAUUAUUCUGAACGAAUCUAGCUUCCUAAUGAAAUCAUUAAGAUGCUGGACUCAUUGAAUUAAUUUCAUUGUUUUCAGAGAACCUUGACAACUGCAUAGAUUAUUUUUAAAGACAAUAAGCAUCUUUAAUGAUGCAGAUUUAUUAUUUGUGCGAAUGCAUUAAUAACAAUUCUAUUAAGCUGAUGCUUCAAUUUUUGAAGUUAUUGGUCAAGCUACAAAGGGCUCACGGAGGAUACCUAGGCACACAGAG
rnacentral:misc_RNA from 1 species